AUCGCUACGUAAUCGCGGAUCUGCAUGCCGCGGUGAAUACGUUCCACAUUGGGCCUUGUAGACACGGCCCAGACUCACUACGGGAUGCAGCAGUUUGUAAUCUUCCACAAGUCGGUGGGGUAACGUUUUAUGGAGCCACGCCGCGUGAGGUGGGACAGAUGAUUAGGGUUUCGAAGCUCGUAAAACUCUGUUGUUAAAGAAGAACAUAUCUGAGAGUAACUGUUCAGGUAUUGACGGUAUUUAACCAGAAAGCCACGGCUAACUACGUGCCAGCAGCCGCGGUAAUACGUAGGUGGCAAGCGUUGUCCGGAUUUAUUGGGCGUAAAGCGAGCGCAGGCGGUUUUUUAAGUCUGAUGUGAAAACCUUCGGCUCAACCGAAGAAGUGCAUCGGAAACUGGGAAACUUGAGUGCAGAAGAGGACAGUGGAACUCCAUGUGUAGCGGUGAAAUGCGUAGAUAUAUGGAAGAACACCAGUGGCGAAGGCGGCUGUCUGGUCUGUAACUGACGCUGAGGCUCGAAAGUAUGGGUAGCAAACAGGAUUAGAUACCCUGGUAGUCCAUACCGUAAACGAUGAAUGCUAAGUGUUGGAGGGUUUCCCUCACCUUUCAGUGCUGCAAGCUAACGGCACUU
rnacentral:rRNA from 1 species